rnacentral:rRNA from 1 species
CGUAGGGGCAAGCGUUGUCCGGAUUUAUUGGGCGUAAAGAGCGUGUAGGCGGCCAUGCAGGUCCGUUGUGAAAACUCGAGGCUCAACCUCGAGACGUCGAUGGAAACCGCAUGGCUAGAGUCCGGAAGAGGAGAGUGGAAUUCCUGGUGUAGCGGUGAAAUGCGCAGAUAUCAGGAAGAACACCCGUGGCGAAGGCGGCUCUCUGGGACGGUACUGACGCUGAGACGCGAAAGCGUGGGAGCGAACAGGAUU